CAGUCAGCGUGAGCGUGAGCGUGGCCCGCCACAUAUAGACCUAGCGGGUUAGGGGCGUAGGAGGAGCGCAACUGCGUGCGUCGGCGCCGAUGGGGUCCUGUUGUCCAUCCUGUGAUGACUUCUUCCACUACGAGUGGCAGGUGUCAACGUCGUUUUUUGUUUAUCGUAACUCGCGUUGUCGGACGUAUGACUACAAGAGGGACGAGGAGAAGUAAAAAACAAGUGAAGUCUGGUAUGAGGAGUUGUUAUUUGGAAAGCAGUAGUGGUGACGUAGAAGAUCUAGUAACGUACUCUAGCUGAGGUUAAGUUUCGGAUAAUUGCCCGAAGUUUUUUAAAGUAACCUCCAAUAACGAUUGGACUCACGGUCGUUCCACCUUUGACCUGUCGUCUACCUUCCGCCGUGAGUAUUGUAAUGGUUGCACUGACUCUUACGCCGUAGACCUACCUCGUAACACUUCCUCCUCGACUGUAAAAGUCGACCUUCACGGGGAAAGUCAUCGACGGUACGAAGGUGGUAACAUCUCUAACCCUUUCUGUUGAAAAACCACCGAAUAAAACCACCUAGGUUCCUUCCACGAGGCCUACAGUUUUAGACCAACGUCUCUAUGUCACUACCAGUGACCGUAGGAGGUCUUCAACGACUACUUGUUCUACCCCACGGGUACACCUUAGGACAUGAUAAAGUCGAGGGAAGAGUACUCGACGAGGAGAAGAUGUUCUAACCAGUCCUUCAAGUCUUCACCUCACCACGGUACUUUUCUAGCGACCUACCACCGUAUAGGACCAGUCUCUCUCUCGUCGAUGGCGGACCAUAAGAACCGGGAUAAUUCUUGUUCGGAAAGGACGAACUUCUACCAGCGGACGAUACACCCAGGAGCCAUCUUUCGACCUUGAGAACCCCACGUACCAACCUCCAGUGUUUUCUACCACCGUCCUGUACCGCCUUCGUGCCAGGAUAUAUGUAUCUUCCACUUUGUGAACCCCACUAAGUCGGUCAAGGUAUGGUUUGACGGUUACCCUGUUAAGCCUACGAAAACGCUAGAAAACUCUGUUAACCGGCACAGACGGACCGCCUAAGACGUCUACCUCCACACUGUACCUCGAUGCGCGUGUUCUGACUCGAAGGAUUAGGUUUGAGACCCUAGCUACCUCAAUUCUACUUCCUACCUUCUCAUGAUCAACGAAUGUUGUGAAAGAGGUCCCCGUGUGAAUUCUAACGUCAGAGGUGCCUACUGCCACUAAGUACCUUGCUCCAUUACUGUGAUCUCCUGUGGUUUCCAUACCUCAAGAGUAUAGGACGCCAUUAGGUCUGGUACCUACUCGAGCAUGUAUAAUGUAUGUGUAUGUUGGCCUGCGUCUAAUUCGUACAGCAAGAAGCUGUAUCACUCUGUACUUUAACAUUCAGACACUGAUGACCCUCUGAGUACCAUCGUUAGGUUCCUUGAAGUUAAGUAGGGGCGGAUGAACCACACUGGUAACGUAGUCAAACACAAACGAGUAUUUUAUCACGUUGGCUAUUUAUUAAAAUGUCCGACUAGUAUUAUUUACAUUAUCAUACUUGUUCACGUAUACACUAACCGCUAAAUCGUAUUCCGCAAGGAAUAUACCGUCAAUAAAGGGAAGUAAGAAACAACACACUUGGUUUGAUGUAACAAGAAAAGGGGGGAGCUUGGUAACAAGAGAACCAGUACAAACAGUGGCACUACGUUGAAGGUUGCUUGUUUCACGAUUGACAAUAGUGCUAUUUCGUCAAAGGUA
rnacentral:rRNA from 1 species